UUAGAGUUUGAUCCUGGCUCAGGAUGAAUUUUGGCGGCGUGCUUAACACAUGCAAGUCGAACGAACUUUCGGGUUAGUGGCGGACGGGUGAGUAACGCGUGGGAAUCUGCCCUCAGGAGGGGGAUAACGGUUGGAAACGACCGCUAAUACCCCAUAUGCCGAGAGGUGAAACGAAAUUCGCCUGAGGAUGAGCCCGCGUCUGAUUAGCUAGUUGGUGGGGUAAAGGCCUACCAAGGCAUCGAUCAGUAGCUGGUCUGAGAGGAUGAUCAGCCACACUGGGACUGAGACACGGCCCAGACUCCUACGGGAGGCAGCAGUGGGGAAUUUUCCGCAAUGGGCGCAAGCCUGACGGAGCAACGCCGCGUGAGGGAUGAAGGCCUCUGGGCUGUAAACCUCUUUUCUCAAGGAAGAAGAACUGACGGUACUUGAGGAAUAAGCCACGGCUAAUUCCGUGCCAGCAGCCGCGGUAAUACGGGAGUGGCAAGCGUUAUCCGGAAUUAUUGGGCGUAAAGCGUCCGCAGGCGGCCUUGAAAGUCUGUCGUUAAAGCGUGGAGCUUAACUCCAUUUCGGCGGCGGAAACUACAAGGCUUGAGUGUGGUAGGGGCAGAGGGAAUUCCCGGUGUAGCGGUGAAAUGCGUAGAUAUCGGGAAGAACACCAGUGGCGAAGGCGCUCUGCUGGGCCAUAACUGACGCUCAUGGACGAAAGCUAGGGGAGCGAAAGGGAUUAGAUACCCCUGUAGUCCUAGCCGUAAACGAUGAACAUUAGGUGUCGGGGGAAUCGACCCCCUCGGUGUCGUAGCUAACGCGUUAAGUGUUCCGCCUGGGGAGUACGCACGCAAGUGUGAAACUCAAAGGAAUUGACGGGGGCCCGCACAAGCGGUGGAGUAUGUGGUUUAAUUCGAUGCAACGCGAAGAACCUUACCAGGGUUUGACAUCCUGCGAAUCCCUUGGAAACUUGGGGGUGCCUUCGGGAGCGCAGAGACAGGUGGUGCAUGGCUGUCGUCAGCUCGUGUCGUGAGAUGUUGGGUUAAGUCCCGCAACGAGCGCAACCCACGUCUUUAGUUGCCAGCAUUUAGUUGGGCACUCUAGAGAGACCGCCGGUGAUAAACCGGAGGAAGGUGUGGAUGACGUCAAGUCAUCAUGCCCCUUACAUCCUGGGCUACACACGUACUACAAUGCUACGGACAAAGGGUUGCAAACUCGCGAGAGCUAGCUAAUCCCAUAAACCGUGGCUCAGUUCAGAUCGUAGGCUGCAACUCGCCUACGUGAAGGAGGAAUCGCCAGUAAUCGCAGGUCAGCAUACUGCGGUGAAUACGUUCCCGGGCCUUGUACACAAGGCCCCUCA
rnacentral:rRNA from 1 species